UUACGUUAUAAAUGCCUGCAUCUGGAA
rnacentral:piRNA from 1 species